rnacentral:rRNA from 1 species
ACGAACGCUGGCGGCGUGCUUAACACCUGCAAGUCGAACGGAAAGGCCCUGCUUUUGUGGGGUGCUCGAGUGGCGAACGAGUGAGUAACACGUGAGUAACCUGCCCUUGACUUUGGGAUAACUUCAGGAAACUGGGGCUAAUACCGGAUAGGAGCUCCUGCUGCAUGGUGGGGGUUGGAAAGUUUCGGCGGUUGGGGAUGGACUCGCGGCUUAUCAGCUUGUUGGUGGGGUAGUGGCUUACCAAGGCUUUGACGGGUAGCCGGCCUGAGAGGGUGACCGGUCACAUUGGGACUGAGAUACGGCCCAGACUCCUACGGGAGGCAGCAGUGGGGAAUAUUGCACAAUGGGCGGAAGCCUGAUGCAGCAACGCCGCGUGCGGGAUGACGGCCUUCGGGUUGUAAACCGCUUUCGCCUGUGACGAAGCGUGAGUGACGGUAAUGGGUAAAGAAGCACCGGCUAACUACGUG